GCCGCGGUGGUGGAAUUGGUAUACACACUAGGUUGAGGGCCUAGGCUCAUCUAUGGGCGUGCGGGUUCAAGUCCCGCCCGCGGCACCA
rnacentral:tRNA from 1 species